CAGCCGCCACGGUAAUACGAAGGGGGCUAGCGUUGUUCGGAUUUACUGGGCGUAAAGGGCGCGUAGGCGGGCUGAUCAGUCAGGGGUGAAAUCCCAAGGCUCAACCUUGGAACUGCCUUUGAUACUGUCGGUCUUGAGUUCGAGAGAGGUAAGUGGAACUGCGAGUGUAGAGGUGAAAUUCGUAGAUAUUCGCAAGAACACCAGUGGCGAAGGCGGCUUACUGGCUCGAAACUGACGCUGAGGCGCGAAAGCGUGGGGAGCAAACAGGAUUAGAUACCCCAGUAGUCCCUGUCUCUUAUAA
rnacentral:rRNA from 1 species